UGGGGAAUAUUGCACAAUGGGCGCAAGCCUGAUGCAGCCAUGCCGCGUGUAUGAAGAAGGCCUUCGGGUUGUAAAGUACUUUCAGUCGGGAGGAAGGUGGUAAGGUUAAUAACCUUGGCAAUUGACGUUACCGACAGAAGAAGCACCGGCUAACUCCGUGCCAGCAGCCGCGGUAAUACGGAGGGUGCAAGCGUUAAUCGGAAUUACUGGGCGUGAAGCGCACGCAGGCGGUUGAUUGAGUCAGAUGUGAAAUCCCCGGGCUUAACCCGGGAAUUGCAUCUGAUACUGGUCAGCUAGAGUCUUGUAGAGGGGGGUAGAAUUCCAUGUGUAGCGGUGAAAUGCGUAGAGAUGUGGAGGAAUACCGGUGGCGAAGGCGGCCCCCUGGACAAAGACUGACGCUCAGGUGCGAAAGCGUGGGGAGCAAACAGG
rnacentral:rRNA from 1 species